rnacentral:rRNA from 1 species
UACGGGGGGGGCAAGCGUUGUUCGGAAUUACUGGGCGUAAAGGGCUCGUAGGUGGCCAACUAAGUCAGACGUGAAAUCCCUCAGCUUAACUGGGGAACUGCGUCUGAUACUGGAUGGCUUGAGUUUGGGAGAGGGACGCGGAAUUCCAGGUGUAGCGGUGAAAUGCGCAGAUAUCGGGAGGAACACCGGUGGCGAAGGCGGUUCUCUGGGCCUGUACUGACGCUGAGGAGCGAAAGCGUGGGGAGCGAACAGG